GCUCGUUUAGCUAUCUGGUGAAAGCAGCGAACUCAUAAUUCGCCUCAGGUGGGUUCGAUCCCCUCAACGAGCA
rnacentral:tRNA from 1 species